CUGAUACUGAAGUCUAAGGUAUUCUGUGUGUCCAAAACAUGACUCCCCUAGAUAGUAGUUCUAUUUCAAAAAUUAUUUGGUUUACAAAGUACACCAUGAAGAACAUUAUAUCAUCAAAGCAUCACUUCAGCUUUGUGUGUUGAAGAGAUUUCUGUGUCCUUAGUGUUCUUAAUGUACUUUCACAAUUCCUAGUCGAUACGUUGGCUGAAACAUCUGCCAAGAUUCUUUAGCUGGUUCAUGAGGAUGAGGUCCUUUAGGUCCUACGUCCUAGCUACCUGCAAUUUUUAAGAGCAUGUGGUAUACAUACUUUUGUUUUCCAAUUGUUAAGAGUUGUAAAGCUAACCUGCAAUUUUGCAGUAUGUUUUGUGGCUGCUUUGUGCCCCAGUAUUUGGUCACACGAUUUGGUCAGGUCCAUGGCUCAGACGACCGUGUAGUCGAUGUUGCCGCCCUCAUGCCAGGUGCGCAGGUCUGCAUCAGAUCCUUCGCUAGGCCUUCUUCGGGCCCUUCGCCGGUGACGGCCAUUGUUACGUACUCCACCCAUUUUCUCCUUUUCUGCUGUGUGAAACCUAACUUUUUUUUUGUUUCCAGAUCUGAUCUAAUAACAAAUUUAUGCACAUAUAUUAUGCAUACUAACUUUUUAAAAUUGUCGGAUGUACACCCAAUCUGCUUGAAUCCAAAGUUGCCGGCAUUCGCUCCAGGUGCCAGACCAUAGCACACCAUCAUGCAGGCUAGCGAUAGGUUCAACAUAAACUCUCAGCUUGAGAAUCUUCAAGCCAAAAAUGUUGGUACAGGGCGUGCUGAUUUGUCCAUGUUUGAAUGGGCAGUAAACAUGAGAGACAGCAACGCCUCUUAUAUUGGGCACCAUCCGAUGCUAGCAUAUUUUGCCAUUGCUCGGAACGAAUGGAUCAGAAGAGAACGUUAGACUGUCAUGCAGGUAUGCUUAUGCUUGUUUUUAAUUCCGUUGAAACAACUGUAUCAACGCCACGCACCCUAAGACCGGGAAGGUAAUGCAACUUCUGCAUUUGUGGCAGAUCUUCAAUGGCGUGUUCGUGAAAGUCAACAAGGCUACUAUUAACAUGCUUCGUAGGGUUGAGCGGCCUUAUGUUGCAUGUGGUAGCUCGCCAUCAUCCCAACCCUCUGAACUCGCUAACAGCCUCUCCAGCUCGCCUACUGCGUGAUUAAAGCCAUCCCAUGUUCCUAAGAUAACAAGCAACUGCUAUGUACGGACUGAUUAGAUAUACACUGUGCUUCUCCUAAUUGCAUCUAUAGUUAGUUUUAUUAUCUACUGCUAUUAGUACUAAUGUUUUCGACGAAUUAUUAUCUUCUACGUACGAUUCUCUAUUCUGAUUUAUACUUAUCCAAAGGACUCUGAUAAUAUUGAAGUUUCUAUUUCUUGCCCA